UACAGAGACCACAAGCGUUACUCGGAUUCACUGGGCGUAAAGGGAGCGCAGGCGGAAUAAUAUGUCAGGUGUGAAAUCCUGGGGCUUAACCCCAGAGCUGCGCCUGAAACUAUUGUUCUAGAGACUUGGAGAGGUAAGUGGAAUUUCUAGUGUAGCAGUGAAAUGCGUAGAUAUUAGAAGGAACACCAAUGGCGAAGGCAGCUUACUGGACAAGAUCUGACGCUCAGGCUCGAAAGCAUGGGUAGCAAAAGGG
rnacentral:rRNA from 1 species